rnacentral:rRNA from 1 species
AUUGAACGUUGGCGGCAUGCCUUACACAUGCAAGUCGAACGGCAGCACGGGUGCUUGCACCUGGUGGCGAGUGGCGAACGGGUGAGUAAUACAUCGGAACAUGUCCUGUAGUGGGGGAUAGCCCGGCGAAAGCCGGAUUAAUACCGCAUACGAUCUACGGAUGAAAGCGGGGGAUCUUCGGACCUCGCGCUAUAGGGUUGGCCGAUGGCUGAUUAGCUAGUUGGUGGGGUAAAGGCCUACCAAGGCGACGAUCAGUAGCUGGUCUGAGAGGACGACCAGCCACACUGGGACUGAGACACGGCCCAGACUCCUACGGGAGGCAGCAGUGGGGAAUUUUGGACAAUGGGCGAAAGCCUGAUCCAGCAAUGCCGCGUGUGUGAAGAAGGCCUUCGGGUUGUAAAGCACUUUUGUCCGGAAAGAAAUCCUUGGCUCUAAUACAGUCGGGGGAUGACGGUACCGGAAGAAUAAGCACCGGCUAACUACGUG